rnacentral:rRNA from 1 species
GACGAACGCUGGCGGCGUGCUUAACACAUGCAAGUCGAACGAAGUGGCGAACGGGUGAGUAACGCGUAAUCAACCUGCCCUUCAGAGGGGGACAACAGUUGGAAACGACUGCUAAUACCGCAUACUGAAGGAGGGGAUUGCGUCUGAUUAGCUACUUGGAGGGGUAACGGCCCACCAAGGCGAUGAUCGGUAGCCGGGCGGGGAGGUGGGACGGCCACAAUGGGACUUGGACACGGCCCAGACUCCUACGGGAGGCAGCAGGGGGGGAACUUCCGCAAUGGACGAAAGGCUGACGGGGCAACGCCGCGUGGGUGAUGACGGCCUUCGGGUUGUAAAGCUCUGUUAAUCGGGACGCGGUACCGGAAUAGAAAGCCACGGCUAACUACGUGCCAGCAGCCGCGGUAAUAC